rnacentral:misc_RNA from 1 species
CCAAUAGUUCGAGGUUCCGCGUUGGACGACAUGGUGCCGGUGCAGAUGCCGGCGAAGCAGCUGGCGGUGGCGAUCUCCGGCGCCGCCGCCACAAUAAUGGCGGGGUCGCCCAGCUGCCUGCAGUGCCGGUGCUGCUCCAGGUCGAGCCCUGGGACAUGCGUGACGACCACCUGCUGCUCCAGCUUCAAGUGCGACAGCGGCGGCAGGUGCAACCUCGUGCAGGAGAAAUGCGGCUGCAGCGGCUGCGGCAACUCCAACUAGUCGGCCGGCCGCCGGCGGCCGCCUACUUGACCGGCAUGCAUCGGAUCGGAUCGAUGUAUGGGAG